GUGUUCACUUUGACAGCAUAGAUACUAAAGUUGGAAUGAUACAGAGGAGAUUAUCAUGGCCCUUGCACAAGGAUGACAUGCAAAUUCAUGAAGCAGUCCUUAUUUUU
rnacentral:snRNA from 1 species